rnacentral:lncRNA from 1 species
CAUGAAUCUGCAUAACAGCCUUUCAGGGGUGGUAUUGUUGUUUAAAGCACAAUCUGGGAAUUGUGAGAGGAGGCGGGGGAGAAAGGGAUGGAGAAGCAGACAGUGAAAACAGGGAAAACUAAGACUUAAUUGGAGAGUGACAAAUCGUAUGAAAUGAGAUUUUCUUGCCUCCUUGCACUGUGCCUAAGAAACAAGUUUUCACUUGAAAAUGCUGACUCCUUUUGCAAACUAAUAAUACUUCUAUUUUCUCUCUUGGCUAAUUGCUUAGAUCGCUAAGAGGGAACGGAAUAAAGUUACAAACACAGAUGUCUGGUCUUCUGAUUCUCGCUCAUCCAUGCGCUGCUGGAUGUUCCUGUCUCUUACGCAGAAUCAUCAGUUUCAUCCAGUUGCUGUCAGCAGGCUUCCAGCUGUGCCUCAGUGCAGAAGGAGCUGAAUCUUUCCAGGGAAAACCUGCGCUGACUCCCGUGGGGAUGAGUCUGAUCCGCGUUCAGUCGAGAACGCAGACUCCAGCACAACCUUUCUUGUCCUGUGCAUCCGCAGAGUCUCAAAUUGUCUUAGCUGUUGCACGGCCUGCCGCCUUCGUUCAGCUUUCAAUAGCACAGUAACCGCCACUUCAGGUGGCCAGAGCCUAAAACACUGGAAGUGCUUCAAGGAUGCAAAUCAUCACAUAGGCCUUAAUCGUCCAGAUUUUUUUUAGGACUCUUUCAGAGGCCUAAGUUACUUUCUUAAGUGGUAGUUAAGGUGAUGCUGUCAUAGGAGAUGCAUCAAGAAUGCAUAACAGGAAGAGGCUGAAGCUGUUAUUGCUGGGACUAUUAACAAUUUUUCAGUGGGAACUGGUAUAGAGCUGUGUAUCAAUAACUAUUUACAGAUUGACACCUGGGUACAAAUUCUAUCCUUUAAAUGUUUCAGUCAAAGCAUCAGCACUGGUCUUAACCACUCCAGGGCAGAGGCCCUAAGGUUUACCAGCAGGGCUUUUAAUUACCUUGAUCUAUUUUCAGUAGAUGAUAGGCAACUGAAGUGCACAACGUUUUCAUUCUCUCCUGGCCUUUUUUAACAGUAUUGUGUAGUUGGAGCUGGUGGAAAAGAUUCAAUUGCAAAAAGAAAAUGUGAAAAUACAUUGUUGUUUUUUUUAAUUCCAAACUUAAAUUUAAUGAAAAUGCAGUUAUCGCUUUCUUUAUUUAUUUCAAAUAGCUCUUUCAUGUGUUGGGACAAAGGAGCAUUGUAUUAAUUGUAAAGUGUGAAAUGUUUUUCUUGUUUGCUUGCAACAACAACUGGGAAUACAUGGAUUUGCCUAUUCAUGCUUUAUUGUUAUGACAACAUUUUUUCACAAAGUAUUUGAAAGCCAGAGCUACUAAAGGAAUAAAGUUGGC